rnacentral:rRNA from 1 species
AUGGCGAUGCGGGCGCCGGCGGCGGUGCUGCUUCUGGCGGUGGCGAGCGUGCUGGCGGCGGGCGCGGCGGCGCAGUCGACGGGCACGCCGGCGUGCGCGUCCAAGCUGACGGGCUGCGCCGGCUACAUGAACGGCACGGACGCGCAGAAGCCGCCGGAGACCUGCUGCGGCCCGCUCCGGGACGCCGUCAAGAACGAGAAGCCCUGCCUCUGCGCGCUCUACGCCUCGCCCGAGAUCUUCAAGGCCUUCAACAUCAACGUCACCGACGCGCUCCGCCUCUCCAAGCGCUGCGGCGUCUCCGAGGACGUCAGCAGCUGCCCCAGUAAUUCACCCGCCCCCCCUCCCUCCCCCUCCUAUUUUAGGAAUUUUUUUUACCGCGCGGAAUGUUUGUCUGCUUCAUUUCAGAUGCGAUUUGCUCCAUCUGCUUCCACGUUUUAG